rnacentral:rRNA from 1 species
GGUAUUGCAAUAAGAUUUUAAUUGAAUGCUAAAAGAAUGGAAUAUCAAAGAAUAACUUUCUUAAAAUUAAAAAUUGAAAUUUUUUUAAUUUGUGUAAAAACAAUUAUAUAAAUUAAAGACAAGAAGACCCUAAGAAUUUUUAAAAUUUAAAUUAACACAUUUUUGUUUUAAUUAAAUUUUAACUGGGGCGGUUAAAAAAUAUUAAAAACUUUUUAAUUUUGAAAAUGACCCAUUAUUAAUGAAAAUAUGAUAAAAUACUCUAGGGAUAACAGCGUUAUAUUUUUUGAUAGAUCAUAUUGACAAAAAAGUUUGCGACCUCGAUGUUGGAUUAGGAUACUUUUUUAAUGAAGAUAU